UUCCUGGUGGCCUAGUGGUUAAGACAUUGCACUUCUAUUGCAGGGAACACAGGUUUGAUCUCUGGUCAGGGAA
rnacentral:tRNA from 1 species